rnacentral:lncRNA from 1 species
AUAUCUACGGCAGGACAUGUGAGUAGUAGGGCAGUGGCCAGAGCUAAUAAUAAGCCACCCAUUGCUAGCUCUCAUACGGCAGGACAUGUGAGUAGUAGUGCAGUGGCCAGAGCUAAUAAUAAGCCACCCAUUGCUACCUCUCAUUCUGCACGCUUGUCUCUUGCCUUUGCAGCAUGACAAACAAGUUCCUUCACACUCCCAUGUUUUUAUGUUUUACUUAUUCCAUUCAUCUUGUGAUAUUUUUAUUGGAGAGUUAAAAUAAGUUUAUUUGAUCCUGACUUUCUAAAAGU